rnacentral:rRNA from 1 species
UACGUAGGGGGCAAGCGUUGUCCGGAUUUAUUGGGCGUAAAGAGCGUGUAGGCGGCCAGGUAGGUCCGUUGUGAAAACUGGAGGCUUAACCUCCAGCUGUCGAUGGAAACCAUCUGGCUAGAGUCCGGAAGAGGAGAGUGGAAUUCCUGGUGUAGCGGUGAAAUGCGCAGAGAUCAGGAAGAACACCCGUGGCGAAGGCGGCUCUCUGGGACGGUACUGACGCUGAGACGCGAAAGCGUGGGGAGCGAACAGG